rnacentral:rRNA from 1 species
CUACGGGGGGCUCCAGGCGCGAGAUCUCCGCAAUGCACGCAAGUGUGACGGGGGAAUUCUAAGUGCUCAAGGUUUCCUUGGGCUUUUUGUAAGAGUAAAAAUCUUGCAGAAUAAGUGGUGGGCAAGACUGGUGCCAGCCGCCGCGGUAACCCCAGCGCCACAAGUGGGAACCGGUUUUAUUGGGUCUAAAGCAUUCGUAGCCGGUUCAGAAAAUUUUCUGUGAAAUCAUUCUGCUCAACAGAAUGGCGUGCAGAAAAAACUUCUGAACUUGGGACCAGGAGAGGUCAACAGUAUUCAUAGGGGAGCGGUAAAAUGCUAUAAUCCUAUGAGGACUACCAAUGGCGAAGGCAGUUGACCAGAAUGGAUCCGACGGUGAGGAAUGAAAGCUAGGGGAGCAAAACGGAUUAGAUACCCGAGUAGUC